CAGAAAGUGCAGGAGAAACUGGGUACCCUCCCACCCGCUCAUUACCAAGAGGUUUAGAUCAUUUAAAGAGGCGCUGGUAUUUCUGGGUACUUAAUCAAAGCCAAAGCUCAAGGUGAACCUCUAAACCUCUUCCAGUCUGAACAUUACUUCUUGUAAGUGGUGUUUUAAUUUUCAUCAUUCCAAGGAAAGUCUUUCAUUCCCCUCAGCUGGCAUCUGAGAUAAGGGACUAAAUCCCCCAGACAUAAAACGUCGAACAAUUCUGUCACACAUUACUUUAGUCUCUUGCUCAAAGUCUUUUUCUUCUCCCCGUCUGAUCUCAGAUACAAUGCAAAAUAAUCAGCGAGGAGAAAAAGGGAACAAUUUAAAGUGUGGCUUUGAAGUUCAAGCCAUGUUCUGAGCGGGUGCCCUUCUCUUUUCCAGCCACCAGAGAGAUGUCUGUCCUGAAGGGUUAACUCAGGCCACAUCUGCAGCAGCUCCUAUAUUGCAUUAGGGAGUACUUUUAGGAUGCACCAGGAAUUGGUUGGGGGUUACAAAACUGCACCUUUGCCAAGACACCUCAUUGCUGAUCCUUUUGCUCUAACUAAUACCAAGAUGAGUUUGUUCAUUUUGCUGCAUUAACAGUUGCAACCCCGUGUUGCACUUUAGUUACAGCAAGUGUGGUCACAUCAGCAAAGGUUUCUAGCAGAGGCCUGACCUUGCCCUUGUUAGCCACUGCCAUGCACAGCAAAUGUGCUUCAGGGUGCAGAGCUCACUGAGGCUGAGCUGACCUGAUCCUGAGCUCAUUUUGCUUGAGCCACCGACAUACUUGGCUGAAUAUCCCGUCACUGACUUCUGCCAUUAACUUGCAGCAGAAUUUCAACCUAAACAGCUGCAAGCAGAGGUUCCUUGUGAUUCCUAUGGACAGGCGGCAAUGACAUGGCAGAAGCCUGAAAAAGAUGCCUUGUUUCUCUUAGAGAAGAUGAUUCUGAUCUUGUUUCUUUAGCAAUAAAAUCUUCUCUGCGUUCUCUGCCACCAGAGGGUGCCAGCGAUUGACAAACCACCGGCCUUGGCAGCGUGCGAGGUUGCAGAGAUCCCUGCUCCCAGCGUAUCCCAGUGAAAGGGUGGAACACGCACAGCUGAUGAGUGAAUGUGAGUGGCUGAUGUCUGGAGAAAGAAGUCGCCUGCAUAUUGGUAAGCAACAUACCUUAGCUCUGGCAGAUACAGACAUGACUGAUUGAUUAAAUGGGAUAAGUUCAGGUAACUGGUGACUUUAGUUACUAAAUUCUUUUAUUUCCUUAAGAGGACUUAAAUAAGUCAGAAAGCUGCCUAGAAGAAAAGCAAUGCAGCUCACUACAUAAAUUUUUUUUUUAGAAUAAAGAGAAACUUAAGAAGGAGAAAGGACUUCA
rnacentral:lncRNA from 1 species